UCUCCCUAAUAAUCUUUCCUAAACUAUCACUUUAUACUCCAAAUUAAACCCAAAAAUUCUCCAUAAUGAGUCUUUGUGGAAAGCUGGAAAAGGAUGUGCCAAUUAGAGCUUCGGCUUCAAAGUUUCAUGAAAUGUUUCACAAGAAGCCUCAUCAUAUCUGCAAUUGCUCUACUGACAAAAUACACGGCGUCGAACUACAAGAAGGGGAAUGGGGCCAAGUUGGCUCCAUCAUUUGCUGGAAAUAUUUUCACGGUAGUUUAUUUUACCACUACUUUUCAUUUGUUUAAUUAAUAACUUGCGUAUGAAAUGAGUUUUCAAAUGCUUAAAACUAUAUGUUUUUUUAGAGGGUAAACAUAAAAUAGCAAAGGAGAUCGUUGAACACGUUGACGAAGAAAACAACUCAAUCACUUUCAAAGUAAUUGAAGGAGACCUUACUGAACACUACAAGGAUUUUAGGUUUACAAUCAAAUGUAUUCCAAAGGAGAAGGGAAGUGUGAUUCAUUGGGUCCUAGAAUAUGAGAAGUUGCAUGACAAGAUUCCAGAUUCACAUACUUUGCUGCAGUUUUGUGUUGACGUCUCUAAAGACAUCGAUAAACAACUUUCUGCAAAUUGAUGAACCCUAGCUAGCUAGCUAGUCAUGUUGCUGUGACAUGACAUACAAGAUUUCAGUACUCAUCAUUUCUCAGGUGUGUGUUGUUCGUUAUAUAUAAAUAAUUUGGCUCUUUACUAUGCUAAAAUUGCCAAUUCUCUAUGUUUAUGUUUUAAUAAUUUAAAUAUAUAAAGUCGUGUACGUGUGCUAUGUUUUGGAUCUUCUGUUUUAUGUGCUGUAAUGAUAAUAUCCUACUCUUUGGAAUGAAUGUGAAAUAUAGAAUAAUAUAAGCAAUUUCUAUGUACAUUGACUUGCAUCAAGGCAUCUCUACCGGGUGGACACACCUUUAGCACCAUCAUCAUUCUCGGUUCAUUAACGAUUAGAUAAAAUUACAUAAAGCAUUUGGUGUACAAAAAAGGCUACAGUGAAGCUCAAAUACCCAAAACAAAAAACAUAAGCAAUUAAACAAAAGCAUUGAUGUUUAAUACAAUAGAGUUAGUUGUGUGUGUCUGUACGCCAGUUAACGCAAGAGUAUCUUACAAACCUCAUAGAUUGUAAAAAGUUAAUUAUUUAGACGUUUAAAAAAUUAAUAUUGUCAAAACAAGUUUUGGCCUAUUAAGAAGACACACCAUUUUAUUUAGUGUUUAUGUUAGAGAUGUGUAUAUCCUCCAACCCCGAAAAUCGAAUCAUAAAAAUGUUAUAAAAUUCAACGACGAAACUUGCAACUUUUUUUUUAAACAUAAAUAAAAAAAAAUUAUCAAUCAUUUUUUAUGAAAAAACUUAAAUAUUCAACCAUGGCGUGGUUAGGUUGAAAAUUAGGUAACAUAACAAAAUAACAAUAAAUCAAUCACUAAGGCAAUAGAUUUGGCCUUGGGUUGGUGUGGUUAUAAUGGGAGCUUGGUUUUAUACUUAUUGAAAUUUUAGGUUAUCUAAAAUAUACAUGAUGAAACUUGUUAACUACGCCCGAUGUUAGAACAUUUCCAAAAACAUCACAAAUUACAAAUUUUGGUAAUCCAAUUUGGUGCAAUACCACAUGUGUUAGUAAAUCAUAAUAGAACACAAAAUAAAAGUUAAGCAAUUACAAUAAUGACUAUAUAUGUCGACAAAUACAGCUACACACUUGAAUAGCUUAACUCAAAGUACAAUAACUUAGGUUUUCUCCGUGUAUGAGAUUCUAAUCCUUCUUGAUGAAAGUUAGACUCCCUUUCUCUAAGAACGUUUAUUUUUCUACUUAUAAAUGAAGUAAUUGAUAAUCUAUGGAUAAACACGCUUGUGUUUUAGCACAAUCACAACACUAAUAUGCAUCAAAAUGGUCAACGUGUUGAAAUUGAUCAAAACCACAAUAUAUAUGGAUAGCUUUGAGAAGAUAUUCAAGGACGGAGACAAUAAAAUCCAGAAGAUCUUGCUGAUAGAUAAGGAAAAAUAAUAUUUAGGCUAUAGUACUUAAAAAUCUCAAUAUUUAAUUAAUUCUAAUUCCACGAAACAAACAUUUCUAAAUCAAUUAAUAUCUUAAAAUAACACUCAAUGAUUCCACGUAAUGAUUCUUAUCUCUAAAAUCCAAAAGUAGCAACUGGCAGGUUACACUUACAAAAUUUACUAAAGAGUUAGUAUAUAUUUGAUCGAAGUUGUGAUAACUGAAUGCUAUAGGAAUAUGAGAUAUAUUUAGAAGUCAACAUCUAAUCAAGAUUGAUUGUAUUGGUUCAAAGGAGGAGUAUUCAACUAUUCACAUAGAAAUUAAUUCUAAAGCUUCGAAAUAUCGUCGCAAAACUCAAUAAUGAUGCUUAAAUUAUUAAUAUUUGAUAAACUAGAUAGGUUCUCGAAGAUAUUAUAGUUUUUUUUUAUUAAAAGAGUAUGUUUUAAAUUUUAAAUAUCAACAUGUAAAUCAUUGGUCAAAAUUAGAUUGAUUUGUUUAAUUAAUGGCAUUAUCUUAUAAACAAAAUAGCCAAACUUAUAAAAAAAAUGAAAAAAUUUAAAAAAUGAAGUAUAUGUUGACAAGUGCUUGAAAAAAAGUAUUUAGCUUAAUUGAACCCAUUAAUUAGAUUUGAUUGAACAAAUUCACAAUCUUUGUAAAAUUUAUAUUUCAAUAGAAAGAGUUAGGAAUUUUUCCUUUUAGUCUAUCUUGUUGACAAACAACCCUUAAUUGAUUAAUUGAGGAAAUAUAAUAAACAAAAUAUCAAUUUCAUAGAAAGUGAUGAAUCAAAUAUCCUUCAUUAUUUUUCUUGAUUGAUUGAGUUGACCUGAUUUGUUUAAAUCUAUUAUUUAAGGGAUUUGGUGAUGAAUCAAAUCUCCAUGAUUUGAUUUCUAAUUAGUGAGUUGGAGGCCUAAUUUAUUGCCUCUCACUUCCACACUCCAAUGCAAAUAAAAUAAAAUAAAAACAAUUUCAUCUAUUUAAAUAGUUUUAAAUUCAUUCUUUUUCUUCUAUCUGUUUUUUUUUUUAAAUACUUUAAUUGUCUAAAUCACUCGCUCGUGGUAAUGAAAUGAGUAAUUCAUCUAUUUUAUAAGAGGUGUGGGUUUUCUUGAAUUUUUUAAUGCAGAACUCUCAACUUGUCCUCUUAAGAUAUGAUGUCUUUUUUGAGUUCAUGACUGAAUACCCAUUUGAGCUUAAUGGACUUUGACACCGUGAACAAAUUUCCAGUCUUUAUGUAUUUUUCUAUUUCAAUGAUCAAUAAAAGCAAAACUUGUCAUCAACUAGAGAUGAAUUUGUCCUUUUAAACUAUAUUGGUUUGUGAUCUAUCUUGCUUGCAAACAACCCUCAGUUGAGGGAAUAUAAUAAACAGAUUAUGAAUUUCCUAAAUUAGAUACAUAACUAAGAAAAGAUAUAUAUGGAAGACUUUUGGUGAUCAUUUGCUACAAGCUGUCAUGACACUUAUUUAUUUAUUUAUUUUGUUAUCUCUUUCUUCCCCUUAAUUUGAGUUGUGUGUGUGUCAUGUGAGAGUAGAAACUUCUCUAUAAAUGAGGUCCAAGAAGAGAUGUUCUUGGCAGUGCCUUAUCUCCCCCUAAUCUUUCCUAAAAUAUCACUUUAUACUCCAAAUUAUACCCCCAAAAAUUCAUCCUAAUGGGUGAUCUAUAUGGAAAGCUGGAAACGGAUGUGCCAAUUAAAGCUUCCGCUUCAAUGUUUCAUGAAAUAUUUCACAAGAAACCUCAUCAUAUCUCCAAUGCCUCUACUGACAAAAUACACGGUGUCGACCUACAUGAAGGCGAAUGGGGCCAAGUUGGCUCCAUCAUUUGCUGGAAAUAUUUUCACG
rnacentral:lncRNA from 1 species